GCAGCUAGCGAGAAAGACGACACGGGAGGGAGCCGACGGGCUCGAUGUCCGAGGGACGAGCAGUUUCCUCCUUCACCCGAUGCCGUCUUCUCUUCCCCUCUUGCGAUGCUGACCUUUCCGUCUUCCCAAACCGAUCGCGCCAUCAUGCGACACCUCCUCUUCCGCGCGUACAAAACCGCCAGCCAAGCUUCUUCUCCUCAUUUGCAUUGCCUCGCCCUCUCCCUUCCCUCAUGCUGCGCCACCCCUACUGGAUCGCUGCCGCCCGAUCGCGCCGGCAGCCACCGUCGAUCCGUGCCCUAACGGUGAGUGGAUGCUCUUGAUUGGAUCAUCUUUCUCACUGUGGCCGCGUUUUUGGUUGUUAUCCGUGCCCUAGGUCCAUUGCCGAUGCAUUUCCCUCUUCGGGUCACUGCCUCGUGUGAGCAAAUCUUCGGCCAAGAAAGGGGAUCUUAGCCCUAGACUCGAUCUCCUGUACCUCUGUGCACCGCAGCUCCGUCUUCGAACACAGCACUUCAGCCGAUUCAUCUUCUACGCUUGAUUUCAUCAUCGCUGUGCAUUAGCUCCGUCGCAGAUCUCCUCUAUCGUGGAUCAACAUCAAUUUGGUCGGAAAGGAAGUUGCGGAUCUAGAUUUGGGGGGUAUUCGGUUGCUCCAUCUCAAGUAGGUAGUGGCGUUUCUUGUUUCCAACAGUAGCUCCAGCUUUGUUUCCGCCAGCAACCUCAUGAUAGCAUUCUGUUUUCUUCACUGAGCAGCUGCGGUUCUGAAUUGAGGACUUUGACUUGCGACGAGCUGCUUGACGUGGGGAGUAGUAUUGGCACGUGUUAUAUCUAAGGCGGGU